rnacentral:rRNA from 1 species
AUGGCGCCGGUGAAGGUGUUGGGGUCGGCGGCGUUCACGAACGUGGCGUGGGUGCUGGUGUGCCUGGAGGAGGUCGGCGCCGAGUACGAGAUCGUCGACGUCGACUUCCGUUCCAAGGAGCACAAGGGCCCCGACCACCUCGCCAGAAACCCGUUCGGCCAGGUCCCGGCGUUCCAGGACGGGGAUCUCACGCUCUUCCGAAUAGAAGAUGUAUACAUGGAAGUUGUAGGGAAAGAGAUGACAUGGAGCAUCUCAAUUCCUAUGAGUAGGGAUUGGAAAAGAGAUGUCAUUUGGUUCACAUCAUAG